rnacentral:rRNA from 1 species
UAAGACAGAGGGUGCAAACGUUGUUCGGAUUUACUGGGCGUAAAGCGCGUGUAGGCGGCUCGGCAAGUCGGGUGUGAAAGCCCUGGGCUCAACCCAGGAAGUGCACCCGAAACUGCCGAGCUCGAGUCCUGGAGAGGAAGGCGGAAUUCUCGGUGUAGAGGUGAAAUUCGUAGAUAUCGAGAGGAACACCGGUGGCGAAGGCGGCCUUCUGGACAGGUACUGACGCUGAGACGCGAAAGCGUGGGGAGCAAACAGGAUUAGAUACCCUGGUAGUCCACGCCGUAAACGAUGGGUGCUAGGUGUCGCGGGCAUUGACCCCUGCGGUGCCGAAGCCAACGCAUUAAGCACCCCGCCUGGGGAGUACGGCCGCAAGGCUA